rnacentral:tRNA from 1 species
GGGGGCGUGGCGGAACGGUAGACGCAGGGGACUCAAAAUCCCCCGACCGCAAGGUUAUGCCGGUUCGAGUCCGGCCGCCCCUACCA